UGCUAUCUAUGCAAGAGGAGUAGACAAAGUCUUGCAAAUAGAGUUGCAGAGGAUGAGUUUGUGCUGAAGUGUGCUCAGUGCUGGAGAGAGCACUGCUUGCCUAGCUCAGGGGAGUUUUCAGAUCAUCACCACUUCUUUUCUCCAAAGGGGAAAAGGACUUUGAAGCAUUCCCAGAAGAGGACCAAGCUUUGCCUUCCCUCUCGCUUCUGCGUGCUCCCAAGGCUCCUCUCAUCCCUCCCUCAGUUUGCAGUGCGGCUUUGUCUCUCUUCAUUGCUCUCAAGGUCAUCAUUGAUCAGAUUGCGAGUGCUUUACAGCUGCAGCCUUGGAUGGGCAGAAAGAGAAAUUGAUUGCAGUCAAUUCAGCAGCAGAUUGAACUGUAUUGACUUGUCCCCUAUUCAUGCAGACGAGGAGCUUUGCUACCUUUUAAUUACCACAGCUAUCCCUUCUUGGCAUCAGUGGGAUGGUUGCACAGGAGUGGAGGAGUUUAUAGGGUCUUGAGGAGAUGCUUUAUGGUGUGCUGGGCUUUUUUGUGAUUCAUCAGGACCAUAUGAGAGAGCCUCUGGCUGGUGAGGGAAUCCCAGUGAUCCAGUCUUCUUGCCUGUGUACAGUGCCUAUCCCUGGAGGAGUCUGCCACUGGGAGUGACUUUUAUUUUCCACUGUGGAAGCCAGCCAUUUUCAAGAAAGUGGCACUCUGCUGAAGAAACAGCAGCCGCAGGUGGUAUAAAGGUUAUUCCUUUGAGCUGGGCACACUUAGCAGGAAAGGCAGAGGAUCAUUUGGCAGAAGUCACAUUGAGAAAUGUUGCUCCCACUCUCCCUGCCUUUGUCUCAGCACACAGAGGAGUGAUGUGCAGCUGCAAGCUUUCUCUAACAGCUGGAUGAACCAAUCUCCUGAUUAGCAAGUCCUUGGGCCAAAUCAUGAAUUCUUGGCUUGAGGGAGAAGAUCUGGUUUUGUGGCUUUUGCUUGCAUCUAGGGAUCAGGAGAGACUGGAAUGCAUUCAGCUGACCCCUGCAGAAAACAAGAUGUACAUGAGUGAUUUCCAUGGAGCCACUCGGGCUUCUCACCCUGGGUUCUGCUUCUGGCUCUGUCCAUGGGCUUGCAGGCUCUGUCGGCUCUAGCACAGUAAUUUGUUGCUAUCAUAGAAAGUGCACUUGGCAUUUCUGAAAGGUGCAGGAUUGGCAGCUUCAGAAGACUGAAAUUCUCUGUUCAUCUGCUGAAUUGAUGCCAAUAGCACCAGCACGAAGAAUGAGAGAAGAGCAGCGAUUCCAGCAGGGCUGGUGAAUAACCUUUUUGUUGUUGUAAAAUGCAAAAGUUUUUUUUAAAAAAAAAGCAGAACAACAAAAUGAUGUUCAUCUGGGGCCAGAGAGAGUAACUUUUUUGACUGUUGAAACUAGUCUGAGUAAGACAAUGACAUAAAAGGAAACAUCAAAAGUCAUUUCAAAACAGAGUUAAAAAUCCACAUUUUAGAGAAGUGGAAAAAGUUCAUUUCCACCCACACACACUUCUGAUGCUUCUUCUACUAUUCCCUUUUCCUCCAGAGCAGAUCAGAAUUUCUGCAAAGUGUUUUGGUGUGACCAAGUACUUUUAUCUUCCUGCCCAAAAUUCUUGUUUCUUCUCUAGACUCCAGGACUUCCUGGGGCUGGACCUGGCCCUUGUAAGUGUGCUCACCCCAGGCUGGGUCUGUGCACUGCAUGUUUGGUCACUGGAAGCUGGGCAAGGCCAGCAACUGAACCUAUGAAAUGCCAUCAGCUGCCUACAGGUACAAGCUACAGAUUUCCCUGGAAGCCAGAUGGGUGAUCUGUAAGACGCUUUCCUAGACCUUUCCACUUAAUGUGGGAUAUUUUUCCUAACUGAUGAGAUAGACAAUGGUGUAGGGACCCUGACUUAGCAGGCCCAGGGAACACACCUUUUUCAACUAUCUGCCAAAAGUAACAAUCUACUUCUCAGUACCUUUAUCUGCUGCAAAAGUAGGCGGGAUGUUCAAUCUAUAUGUAGAAUCCUUCGGUUGGAAGGGACCUUCAGGGAUCAUCUAGUCCAACUACCUGACUGCUUCAGGGCUAACCAAAAGUUAAAGCAUAUUAAUGGUAUUAUCACAUCCUGAACUCUUACAUGCAUGGGGCAUUAGGUGUUGCUUUCCAAGUGAUCUUUGUAUGGAAGUUAUCCAUUGGCUUAAUAACAAAUCCUCUGGAUUAAAUAAAAUGAAUUCAACCUUGUAAUCUUGCUUCCA
ensembl:lncRNA